rnacentral:tRNA from 1 species
GCCUGGGUGGCUUAGUGGGUUAAGCGUCUGCCUUUGGCUCAGGUCAUGAUCCUGGGGUCCUGGGAUCGAGUCCCACAUCAGGCU